rnacentral:rRNA from 1 species
CUAGCCUUGACAUUGAUAGAAUCCGGUAGAGAUACUGGAGUGCCUUCGGGAGCUUGAAAACAGGUGCUGCACGGCUGUCGUCAGCUCGUGUCGUGAGAUGUUGGGUUAAGUCCCGCAACGAGCGCAACCCUCGUUCUUAGUUACUAACGGUUCGGCCGAGGACUCUAAGAAGACUGCCUUCGUAAGGAGGAGGAAGGUGAGGACGACGUCAAGUCAUCAUGGCCCUUACGGCUAGGGCAACACACGUGCUACAAUGGCCAGGACAAUGAGACGCAAUACCGCGAGGUGGAGCAAAUCUAUAAACCUGGUCUCAGUUCGGAUUGUAGUCUGCAACUCGACUACAUGAAGCUGGAAUCACUAGUAAUCGUAGAUCAGCUAUGCUACGGUGAAUACGUUCCC